rnacentral:rRNA from 1 species
UACAGAGGUCCCAAGCGUUGUUCGGAUUCACUGGGCGUAAAGGGUGCGUAGGCGGUCGGGUAAGUCUGACGUGAAAUCUUCAAGCUUAACUUGGAAACUGCGUCAGAUACUAUUCGGCUCGAGGAAUGGAGGGGAGACUGGAAUACUUGGUGUAGCAGUGAAAUGCGUAGAUAUCAAGUGGAACACCAGUGGCGAAGGCGAGUCUCUGGACAUUUCCUGACGCUGAGGCACGAAAGCCAGGGGAGCAAACGGG